AUUAAAUCAGUUAUAGUUUAUUUGAUAGUAUCUUACUACUUGGAUACCUUGUGGUAAUUCUAGAGCUAAUACAUGCACCAAAUCCCGACUUUUUGGAAGGGAUGUAUUUAUUAGAUACAAAACCAAUGCGGGGGAGACCCCGGUAUUGUGAUGAUUCAUAAUAUCUUUACGAAUCGCAUGGCUUUGCGCCGGCGAUGAAUCAUUCAAAUUUCUGCCCUAUCAACUGUCGAUGGUAGGAUAGAGGCCUACCAUGGUUUUCACGGGUAACGGAGAAUUAGGGUUCGAUUCCGGAGAGGGAGCCUGAGAAACGGCUACCACAUCCAAGGAAGGCAGCAGGCGCGCAAAUUACCCAAUCGCGACACGCGGAGGUAGUGACAAUAAAUAACAAUACAGGGCUUUUACAAGUCUUGUAAUUGGAAUGAGUACAAUUUAAAUCCCUUAACGAGGAACAAUUGGAGGGCAAGUCUGGUGCCAGCAGCCGCGGUAAUUCCAGCUCCAAUAGCGUAUAUUAAUGUUGUUGCAGUUAAAACGCUCGUAGUUGGACUUCGGAGGUAGAGGGCUGGUCUGCUCUAUUAGAGUGUGUACCGGUUGGGUUGGUUCUUUUGCUCGAUUAAGCUUUCUGCUCUUCGGAGUGGGGGGACUUGAGCGGGCCGUUUACUUUGAAAAAAUUAGAGUGUUCCAAGCAGGCAAUUGCCUUGAAUACGUUAGCAUGGGAUAAUAAAAUAGGACUUUGGUUCUAUUUUGUUGGUUUCUAGGACUGAAGUAAUGAUUAAUAGGGAUAGUUGGGGGCAUUAAUAUUUAAUUGUCAGAGGUGAAAUUCUUGGAUUUAUGAAAGAUUAACUUCUGCGAAAGCAUUUGCCAAGGAUGUUUUCAUUAAUCAAGAACGAAAGUUAGGGGAUCGAAGACGAUCAGAUACCGUCGUAGUCUUGACCAUAAACUAUGCCGGCUAGGGAUUGGUGGAUGUUAUUUUCAUGACUCCGUCAGCACCUUAUGAGAAAUCAAAGCAUUUGGGUUCUGGGGGGAGUAUGGUCGCAAGGCUGAAACUUAAAGGAAUUGACGGAAGGGCACCACCAGGAGUGGAGCUUGCGGCUCAAUUUGACCCAACACGGGAAAACUUACCAGGUCCAGACAUAGGAAGGAUUGACAGAUUGAGAGCUCUUUCUUGAUUCUAUGGUUGGUGGUGCAUGGCCGUUCUUAGUUGGUGGAGUGAUUUGUCUGCUUAAUUGCGUUAACGAACGAGACCUUAACCUGCUAAAUAGUUACCGGCUUAUGGUAACAUAGGUCGAGACUUCUUAGAGGGACAUUUCGGGUUUACCGGAAGGAAGUUUGUGGCAAUAACAGGUCUGUGAUGCCCUUAGAUGUUCUGGGCCGCACGCGCGCUACACUGAUGAUUUCAACGAGUUUAUAACCUUGGCCGAGAGGCCUGGGUAAUCUUGUAAACGUGCAUCGUGAUGGGGAUAGACGAUUGCAAUUUUUCGUCUUCAACGAGGAAUUCCUAGUAAGCGUGAGUCAUCAGCUCGCGUUGAUUACGUCCCUGCCCUUUGUACACACCGCCCGUCGCUCCUACCGAUCGGAUGAUCCGGUGAAAUUUUCGGACUGUUCCGUCCGGCUUUCGGGCCGGGCAUGAGCGGGAAGUUACUUAAACCUUAUUAUUUAGAGGAAGGAAAAGUCG
rnacentral:rRNA from 1 species